CUUUUUUCUCUCAACAAACAUUUAUUCCUUUUAUUUUCCUUGACUCCUUUUCCUUUUUUCAGUUCCAGGAUCAAUGAAAUCCAGAAUCGAUAUCUCAACUAUUCCUGGAAGGUUGAAAAAGAAAUUUUUUAUCAAAUGUUAAAUUAUGCUAGAGCAAAAUACAAUAAGUGUAAUGGAGAAGCAACUGGUGGUUGUGUGUCAAAAUAAUUUUAUUAGAGUUCUGCAUAUGUGACAAUGAGAAGGUUGCCUUUAGACAACAGGGUUGUGAAUUAGAAAAAGAGCAUCUUUGAUAUUUUUGGGUAAUUUUGGCUCAAGAGUCAAAGAUCAGUAGAUUCAUCACUUCCUCUUGUGAGAAAAGGAUUUUGAGACCAGGAACUUCCAUCCAUCUGGAAUGGAGUGGUAGAAGAAAUGGAUGGACAGCAAAGAACAUAAGUGAAAGGAGAAAUUAAGUCAAAAGAAAAAAAUUAAUGAGAGAGGUCGAAGAAGAAUACCCAGAAGAAAAGCUAGCAGUAGUUCGUAGAUAAAGAACAUGCUCUGGACUAACUCUGACCACAGGUUUCAGUGAAGAAAAUCACUGGACAAGAGUAAACUACAGGUACAGGAAAAUGUGGUAGAAGGAGCAUAAAAUGGAAGAAAGUCAGAAACCUAAGGUGACCAGAGAGAUGAAAGCAAGCAAAGGAAACUUCUGGUCUUUUUUCUCUGUUAUGAGGAAUUAACUUAGACAAAACAGACCAAAGGGCCUGAAAAAAUCAGAACCUUAUGGAGUAACAGGAAGAAUUUCCCCUAUGAAGAUGGAUAAUCAGGGAGAAGGAUGGAGGAAGAAAUAGCCAAAUUACAUAAAGCUCUCAAAAAGCACAUACUCAAGUUAAAAUCAAGCAGAUACUUCAGUGCUUUGCUUAAUCAGAAUCCAAAUCUCUCAGAAGGAGCAUGCAGGUACUGUUCUGGUUUGUAGAGCUACUAACAGAUGUUGGCACCAUAGCUGGCUGGUCAAGCCAGUGACUAUGGAUGAAGUCUCUAUCAGUAUGGUUUCAAGAAUUCCUCUGAUUUCUAGGCAGGAGUAAAAAAUUUUAAGUAUUCUCAUGAGUUAGAAAAAUCAAAGUAAAUGUGGCAUUAGAUUGUGGCAUGGACAAUGUAUUUUUGGUUCAAAAUAUAUGCAUGCACGUUCAACAAGAAUAAG
rnacentral:lncRNA from 1 species